rnacentral:rRNA from 1 species
AUUGAACGCUGGCGGCAGGCCUAACACAUGCAAGUCGAACGAGUGGCGGACGGGUGAGUAAUGUCUGGGAAACUGCCCGAUGGGGGGGGAUAACUACUGGAAACGGUAGCUAAUACCGCAUCCUAUCGGAUGUGCCCAGAUGGGAUUAGCGAGUGGGUGGGGUAACGGCUCACCUAGGCGACGAUCCCUAGCUGGUCUGAGAGGAUGACCAGCAACACGGGAACUGAGACACGGCCCAGACUCCUACGGGAGGCAGCAGUGGGGAAUAUUGCACAAUGGGCGCAAGCUGGAUGCAGCCAUGCCGCGUGUAUGAAGAAGGCCUUAGGGUUGUAAAGUACUUUCAGCGGGGAGGCGUUACCCGCAGAAGAAGCACCGGCUAACUCCGUGCCAGCAGCCGCGGUAAUUC